GGCCUGGCUGGUCGGUCCGCCUAACCGCGUGCACUGAUUCGGCCGGGUCUUUCCUUCUGGCUAACCUCAUGUCCUUUACUGGGUGUGUUGGGGAUCCAGGACUUUUACUUUGAAAAAAUUAGAGUGUUUAAAGCAGGCAUUCGCUUGAAUACAUUAGCAUGGAAUAAUAAAAUAGGACUU
rnacentral:rRNA from 1 species